rnacentral:rRNA from 1 species
UACGGAGGGUGCGAGCGUUAAUCGGAAUUACUGGGCGUAAAGGGUGCGUAGGUUGUUGAUUAAGUUAUCUGUGAAAUUCCUGGGCUUAACCUAGGCAGGUCAGAUAAGACUGAUUGACUCGAGUAUGGGAGAGGGUAGUGGAAUUUCCGGUGUAGCGGUGAAAUGCGUAGAUAUCGGAAGGAACACCUGUGGCGAAAGCGGCUCACUGGACCAUUACUGACGCUGAGGCACGAAAGCUAGGGGAGCAAACAGG